rnacentral:rRNA from 1 species
UACGAAGGGGGCUAGCGUUGUUCGGAAUUACUGGGCGUAAAGCGCGCGCAGGUGGUCUUUCAAGUCAGUGGUGAAAGCCCGGAGCUCAACUCCGGAAAUGCCAUUGAAACUGUGAGACUUGAGGACGAGAGAGGUGAGUGGAAUUCCCAGUGUAGAGGUGAAAUUCGUAGAUAUUGGGAAGAACACCGGUGGCGAAGGCGGCUCACUGGCUCGUAUCUGACGCUCAGGCGCGACAGCGUGGGGAUCGAAAACAGG